rnacentral:rRNA from 1 species
UACGAAGGGGGGCUAGCGUUGCUCGGAAUCACUGGGCGUAAAGCGCACGUAGGCGGAUCUUUAAGUCAGGGGUGAAAUCCUGGAGCUCAACUCCAGAACUGCCUUUGAUACUGGGGAUCUCGAGUCCGGGAGAGGUGAGUGGAACUGCGAGUGUAGAGGUGAAAUUCGUAGAUAUUCGCAAGAACACCAGUGGCGAAGGCGGCUCACUGGCCCGGUACUGACGCUGAGGUGCGAAAGCGUGGGGAGCAAACAGG